AUACCUUUCUCGGCCUUUUGGCUAAGAUCAAGUGUAGUAUCUGUUUUUAUCAGUUUAAUAUCUGAUAUGUGGGUCAUGUGUUCACAAUGAUAUUAAAUUUAUUUUUUAUGAGGAAGGGUCCACUACAGUGGCUUGCCACUGGGACCCUUAGAUGUCUCCCAGGUGUUGCACUACUGCUUGGGCAGGUGCACCCCAA
rfam:Triticum aestivum genome assembly, contig: Triticum_aestivum_CS42_TGACv1_scaffold_249505_3DL